rnacentral:rRNA from 1 species
GAUGAACGCUAGCUACAGGCUUAACACAUGCAAGUCGAAGGAGCGGCGCACGGGAGAGUAAUACGUAACCAACCUGCCCUUUACUCGGUGAUAACCUUUCCAAAGAACGAUUAAUACCCAAUAUGAAGGAUGUGGAUGCGUUCGGUUAGGUUGUUGGGUAGGUAACGGCGCACCAAGCAUUCGCUGGAUAGGGGUUCUGAGAGGAAGGUGCCCCGCAGUGGAACUGAGAGACUGUCCAAACUCAUACGAGAGGCAGGAGUGAGGAAUACUGGUAAAAGAGCGCUAGCCUGAACCAGCCAAGUAGAGUGAAGGAUGAAGGCUUAUGGAUCGUAAACUUGUUUGAUAUAAGAAUAUGUAUUAUAUGAAUAAGGAUCGGCUAACUCCGUGCCAGCAGCCGCGGUAAUUC